rnacentral:rRNA from 1 species
UGGGGAAUAUUGGACAAUGGGCGCAAGCCUGACCCAGCCAUGCUGCGUGAGUGAUGAAGGCCCUAGGGUUGUAAAGCUCUUUCACCGGUGAAGAUAAUGACGGUAACCGGAGAAGAAGCCCCGGCUAACUUCGUGCCAGCAGCCGCGGUAAUACGAAGGGGGCUAGCGUUGUUCGGAUUUACUGGGCGUAAAGCGCACGUAGGCGGACUUUUAAGUCAGGGGUGAAAUCCCGGGGCUCAACCCCGGAACUGCCUUUGAUACUGGGAGUCUUGAGUAUGGUAGAGGUGAGUGGAAUUCCUAGUGUAGAGGUGAAAUUCGUAGAUAUUCGAAGGAACACCAGUGGCGAAGGCGGCUCACUGGACCAAUACUGACGCUGAGGUGCGAAAGCGUGGGGAGCAAACAGG